CUUUCGUGCACUAUAGUCGCGAGUUCGGAUCGAAAGGACACUGGGCGAGUGAAGAGCGUUUAAAGUGGUACCAACAACAAAUUCCUCAAUAUUAUAGCCAAUGCUAGAAAGUAGAAAGGAAGGGAAUCGACGGCCAGCGAAAUUGUAAUCAAAAAUAAAUAUACCAAAAAGCUUAUAAGAAAGGACACCAAUGAACAGCCAUAAUAAGAGUCCAAAUCGUAAGCGAAAGGCGAACCAAGUUUGUAGCAUACUUUUUUGGGUUUACGUCAUGUUUGUCUACGCGAACCGCCAUUUGUGCUUGUGUGCUUGAGUCCGCACACAAACACGCACACCAUUAUGUCGCCUGUAUUCGUGCCUGUGUCUGUGCCUGUGUUUGUGUUUGCAUUGGUGUCUGUAAGCCAAAAUGCAUGCCAAUCAGUGUCCUGAGUCCUGAAUCAUCGACUGUCCAAACAUCGUGCAUUGCUUUUGUCCGCCUGGGCUAAUUAGCUGCAGGUAGCAGGUCCUUGUGCCGUUUUACCUGCAAGCUAAGCAAAAACGUAGUAAAUGAACAAAAGAAAAAGCAUCCAAA